GCGGGCGUUGGGGCGGGUGCCCCUCGGCGUUAUCGGUACCGGGGUUGGUCCCGUAGCGAGGCGUCACGUUCUCACUGCGGGGAGAAAAGGGGAAAAAACACAGCGCUCUGCCAAGGAGACGAAGGUUGCAAAGCCAGGUGCUCGGAAAGAGCUCGGCAGCCUGAGGGUUUUCUGUGUAAACUGGACGCUGUAAAAGUCUGACAUACCCCUCAGAGAAACCCUGUGAGCAGCAGGACACAGAUAAAGCACAAUCAUACAUACGUGCUCGCCUCCACCAACGUGCAAAAGCACUUCUCUGACAGUUUCCGUCUGACCACCCGUGGCAAAUGCGCACCUGGUACUCCUCUUCACCUCCUCCUCCAACCAAGGCUGAUUUCCAGCCCUCAGCUUCCACUGUACCACCUGUACAGGUCCGGCUCCUGUUACUUAUGCACCUGAACUGGAUAUUUCUUCCCUCCACGUCUUCACAGCACCGUCAUCCUUUCCUAGGGAGAUUUUUCAGUUGUUUAUGCUAUGAUGACUCAUCUAUAAGCUCAGUUUUAUGACGAACAACAGGAGGAAGAGAUAAGAGAACAGUGGCCAAUAUACGGCAAUCAAAAGGAUGGAAGAUAAACACAGCAGCCCAAGGGACAGAUGGAGAAAGGGACAAACAUGAAGCAGAAAUGGCCAACAGUAGUUCCACGGACACGGAUGCUGCCGCGGCUGGGCCUGGAUGAGGCGCAGAUGCAUGCUAAGGUGACCUGGUGACAGGCGGCCCCGCUGACUUUGCAGCCUCCCACCGCAGGAUUCAGGUUACGCUGCAGCCACGGCAGGACAGCCCCAGAGGAGGAACCUCACGUGAACUGCUUAUGGGAUUCAUACCGUUCGUCCUUGGCUUAGGCACAACUAUGAGGAACGAUUAUUUAAAAUUGACUUUAAUAGUGACCAGCUGCACCAGAAAACUGUUCUCGGAUCCCAAGUUCUAACACCCCGGAAAUGCCAAAGAGAUCGGGCACUCCCUUGCCUCGGACGCUAGUAAUCGCUGAGGUGAAGUACAAGUGCUGCUGCUUGACACGACAUGUUCUUGCUAACAUGUAAUUUCCUGAUUAGAGGUUGGAAGGAAGAUGGCUGAAACAACAAGCAGAAGUCUCUCAACAAUUUUACGUCUCACAGGUUCCUUUCUGCCAGCUUACCAUUCAGCAAAGAAUAAUUGCUGCAGCAAGAUUUGACAGAGGAGAUGGCCCUCAGAAUCCCUUAUAAAUAUCUAUGCAACAGAAGCUCUGUUCUAGUGCUGGUUUUUCAGUAUGUUGCCUGAGAAAAUAGAUCUAGGAAAUCAGUAAUAUCUCAAUACCUCAUCGACUCCCAGUCUACACGAGCAGUAACAAGGCACAGGUUUGCUCUUCUAAAAACAGUAACUAGCUACACAAAGUCACUGUGUCUGGAAUUGGAUACUCAGACAGAUACUCAGACACGUACGCACAACAUUUCUCGGGCAAGAUUCUAGAGCCUUAGCUGCUUCAUCUUCAAAAGAGAGAAUAUUUACCAUACAAAGAUCCCACCCUACCCAAAAAUUAGUAACUAUCCAUGGGUCAGCGUUGUGAAUGGAAUAUUCAGCCGCUUCGGGAUACAAGCAAGUGCCCGCUUCUUAAAAUGAAAUUUUGCAGUUGCUCUGUAGAGCAACACAGGUAAAGACUUUAAAAAAAAAUCUCUCUUUACAGCUCUGAUUCACUAACUUUAGCAUACACCAGACUACUUCCUUUCUAAACAAAAUAGUGUAAAUAUUCUACAGAAGUAGAUUUCUUUUUAAAGCUGUAGGUAUUUUAAUUAUUACCUCAUAAUUAUUUUGUUUAUGUAAACAGUAAUAAUAACAACAAAUACACUUACUCAUACUUUUUAUGAGCUACUAUUACAUUGACCAGGUUGGACCAACUAUUGUUUUAAAAUGUGUUAUAUUUAAUGGAUUGUUUUGCAGACAAGCACAAGGAACCAUUCACACAUGAAUUAAAAUCCUGUUUGUAUAUAGAGCUUUCACAGAAGUCAACCAUUUGAAGAGCUGCACCACCUCUCAAGUUGCUUUGUUAAAAAGGCAAUUAAGAUGCAUCCAUACCUCAAUGGAGCCACCAAGGAAAAAGGCGGAAUACAAUUCAGGAAUCAGCUAAUACCUUCCAAGGUACUACAAAAACCUCCCCACACACUAGCAGCCAAAAUACUUGUAAACUCAGUUUGACUCAUAUUUUAGAUGCAAGUAGGUGCACAUUUGUUUUCUCAAAAAAGAAGUCAAAUACUGGCAUGCAGUAAAGGUUCCACGUUUAAGUCAAGCUUAAAACUAUCAUUGGUUUUCACACCUGUGGCUACAGCCACACUGAAGUCUUCCUUUCCAAAGAAAGAAUUUCAGUGAAGUUUCUCCUUCAUCAUAGGCUUGUCAAUUGCUUCCUUUUUUUGUUUGUUUUUAAAAACUGUGCAUACCAGAUGCAUUUGCUGCUUUCCUAUCGAAACAGAAAUUCCCAUUGCUUUGUGUGUGUCCCUUCCAAUCGUAAUUGAAUCAUUCACGAGGAAAGAGGAAAAGUCAUUGCUCUGUACUUACAGGAUAGCAGUAAAUAAAUUUGAUUGCCAAACAAAAAAAAAUCAAACUAAAUUAUAAACUUACAUUUUAUGCAACUUAUGGAUAGGUUGCAUACCUGUAUUACCGUGAUUUUAAAAAGGAACGGUAAACAAAAAUAUUUCAAACAGAGUUCAAAAUACUGGAUAUGUAGCCUCCAAUUGACUCGUGUUUAAUGCUAGUUUGAUGUUUUAUUGAAUUUUGAAACUUUUAACUUGAUCUAUCUUUAAGACCAAGACCAUAGUGACAUGUUGGUUGUUAUGCAAUUCCGCUGAAGUUAACUGACAGAAGAGCUAUAUUUAGUGUGCACACGCUAGGAACAGCCUGUGAAAUAGUGUUUAGAUUCCUCAGCGGACCCUUAGGAAUCCGCUCACAGAACAACUGUUUAACCAAUCACAUUACCUGCUCACCUUAACGUUAGAUCUUGAAGAAGGAGAAUGGGGUCGUAAAACAAACUUUUCAUUCUUCUAGUUUUAGACGAACUCUGGUGCCACAGGCAGCAUGCUUUUAGUGGCACUUAUUAAAUGAACUUCCUUGAAAGUUCUGUUACCUUAAUGCUAUGAUACGUCAAGGUAACAACUGAAUUAGCUUUCACUGCAGGACAGCCUCCAAUAGGAACACCGGUGUUUGUUCUUUGUGUUCUGUUCUAAGAAGCAGACUUUAAGAACUCACAACAUACACACACACAAAAGUGCAUUCAUAAAUUAACCUUGCAC